UCCUCCUUCUCGGCGUCCUUCGUACUCGUGGGCGGCGCUUUUAUCCGUCUGGAGGCCCGCCCGAGCUUUACUCCGCAGCUGUGCGCACUUUUUUAAAGCGGCGAGGAUCGUUCGCCGCCUUGUGGAAUAGCUUUGGCUAUUGCUGUGCGGUGCCCAAGUGAGGAUGGCAAUCCACGUUGGAACUACAACCAUUUGAGUUAGCAACUUAAGGAACUGCUCACGGCUCUCGGUGUGUGUGUGCACACAAACAUAGCAUCAUAAAAUGACUAUGAAAUUGCAAUAAACCAGACACAAACUGGGCUGGGCAUAGCCUGCGUGUGAUGCAUCCAGCCUGCGGGCUGCCAGUUUGACAUCCCUGGUUUAUACUGAACCUGCAAAGAAUCCUCAUUAUUAUCAUCUGCAAAAUCUGUAUGUGGAUUAUUCUAGUUUAUAGCAGGACAAUUUUCCAAAGAGAAGCCUCUAGUAAAUGAUGAUGUGUGAAUGUUUCUGGAUUGCCUCUUGAUGUUAUUACUAUGGCUUUUCA